rnacentral:tRNA from 1 species
GCAUCCAUAGCUGACUGGUGUAAGCGCCCCCCGGGCGGUCGAAUUAGUAGGUUCGAAUCAUACUGGAUGCC